rnacentral:lncRNA from 1 species
GGUAAGAGUUGGAGAUGAUGCUUCUGAGGCUGCAUGUGGGAUGUGAGAACAGCUUGCUCUUGCCCAGCCUGAGGCCCUGGAGGGAUUUUCUUUUCACUGCAAGACUGGCAACAGCUGUGAACACAUUUCUUGUUGGUGGCCGUGACUUCUGUUUUCAAGCACUUCCAAAGAUCCUCCUGGUUGCUGAGGACCGUUCUACACUCCUGCCUUCAUAGCCCUAAGGCCAGCCUAGGCCAUGCCUUCAUUUUCCAGGAUUCCAUGCAGGAACUCUUGGACUCCCAACAGGCUCCCAUCGGAGUAACAGUACAAUUCAACUCUGAAAGUAUGAGGCUGGAACACCUGGCUGCCUGGACUUCUGGUGGCAGGGACUCUAGGAAACAAGGACGUGCAGGAGAUGGAGGCCAUACAUUACAAAUUAUUCAAAUAAUCAUCCUUCCACAUAUAUGGAAUCAUUCAUUUUUAUAAGUCUGAUGAGGCAUUAAAUGUUAUGAUACUUCUAAUCUCAUUAUAAUAAAAGCUUAUUCUUUUUUUUUUUUUAAGUUUAU